GACGAACGCUGGCGGCGUGCCUAAUACAUGCAAGUUGAACGAAGUUGCUUUAACUGGUGCUUGCACCGACUUAAACAACUGAGUGGCGAACGGGUGAGUAACACGUGGGUAACCUGCCCCAAAGUGGGGGAUAACAUUUGGAAACAGAUGCUAAUACCGCAUAACCACAGAAACCUCAUGGUUUCUGUGUCAAAGAUGGUUUCGGCUAUCACUUUGGGAUGGACCCGCGGCGUAUUAG
rnacentral:rRNA from 1 species